rnacentral:rRNA from 1 species
GACGAACGCUGGCGGCAUGCCUAAUACAUGCAAGUCGAGCGAACAGAUGAGAAGCUUGCUUCUCUGAUGUUAGCGGCGGACGGGUGAGUAACACGUGGGUAACCUACCUAUAAGACUGGGAUAACUCCGGGAAACCGGGGCUAAUACCGGAUAAUAUUUUGAACCGCAUGGUUCAAUAGUGAAAGACGGUUUCGGCUGUCACUUAUAGAUGGACCCGCGCCGUAUUAGCUAGUUGGUAAGGUAACGGCUUACCAAGGCGACGAUACGUAGCCGACCUGGGGGGGUGAUCGGCCACACUGGAACUGAGACACGGUCCAGACUCCUACGGGAGGCAGCAGUAGGGAAUCUUCCGCAAUGGGCGAAAGCCUGACGGAGCAACGCCGCGUGAGUGAUGAAGGUCUUCGGAUCGUAAAACUCUGUUGUUAGGGAAGAACAAAUUUGUUAGUAACUGGACAAGUCUUGACGGUACCUAACCAGAAAGCCACGGCUAACUACGUGCCAGCCGCCGCGGUAA